rnacentral:rRNA from 1 species
UACGUAGGGUGCGAGCGUUGUCCGGAAUUAUUGGGCGUAAAGAGCUCGUAGGCGGUGUGUCACGUCGUUCGUGAAAACCUGCAGCUUAACUGUGGGCGUGCGGUCGAUACGGGCAUCACUGGAGUUCGGCAGGGGAGACUGGAAUUCCUGGUGUAGCGGUGAAAUGCGCAGAUAUCAGGAGGAACACCGGUGGCGAAGGCGGGUCUCUGGGCCGAUACUGACGCUAAGGCGCGAAAGCGUGGGGAGCGAACAGG